CUCCCACAUGACUCGCUGCCUCUGUCUUUCACAUGGGCUGUAAUUUAGUUCAAUUCAGAACUGCAGAUAGUACAGCUUUCACAGGAGCAAGGAUGCCUGAGCACAAGUGGCUGAGUUCCGAGUGACUUUAUGAAGCACUUUCCUACCUCCCUCCGUCAUGAAAACGGGGAUUCUGCACCUGCAUCAGGGACAGUCUGGCAAAAGCCUCUGCUGUGCCUCCGGGGACAAGGAACUAGCACAAAUAACCAUUUUGAAAUUGGAUCUUGGCAAAAUUAGCAACAAAUCCAUAAAGGAAACUGAAAGCAAUUGGAUCUCCAUCUUCAGUGGCAGUCCCACAAAAGUUGGAGAAAUACGUUGUCUCCAAAGAGGAUACAGCUGCACCCUAAAAUUAGGACAUAAUUAAGGUAUGACAUUUCUUUUAGUUCAUUUCUUUAGUUUGGUUGCAGUGCUUUGUUCUUUCCAUUACAGAUAAUUUUUUCUUUUUUUUCCCCCAGUCUCUCUCUCUCUCUUCCUUUUCUUCCUCUCAUUAGCAAAUGUCUUUUAUAAUUGAUCUUGUUUACUGUCCUUUCAUCAAAUAUAUGCCACAUCACUCAGGCGAGCCAUCUGACAGGGCACCUAAAUACACAUUAGAAAGUACUGGGAGCCGUGCGUCACUUUGACUGUCUCAUCAGGGCAGUUAUAAUAAGCAUCUUGAUGCCACUGAAGGCAAUGCUGUAUUCAGAUAAUAGCCUUCAUUUUUACCCUUUUUAAAUAUAAAAGUAAACCUUGAAGCAUUUGAAGGACCUCACUAAACAACACACAUGUGGAAACAGACCAGGGAGCCUUUGAAAAAAAGUCUCUAUGUAAAAUCUGUAAAGAAUCUUAGCAGUUUUUCAAAAAGACUUCCAGAUACAUGAUGCCUGUGAAUAAGACACAUGACCACCUUAAUUAUGAGAAUCAUUAUUGUAGGCCCUCUGGGCCAUUUUUGCUCCCAGCAGGAUUUUUCUUUCCUCAUCCAGAGUUUCCGGGGAUGUCUACUAUUCUCUGUGUGUAAAGCACAUUUAAGUGGUCCCACAAAGCUGCACUAAUUAAACACACACACACACACACACACACACACACACACACACCAAUAACAACCAAAAAAAAAAUACAAAACACUUUGUCAAGUGGUCAGACAGACUGGAACUAGAGGAUUAUAGGUAAGAGGGAUAAAAUGAAGGGUUGAAAGCCAUAAUUUCUAUUUUUGUGGUGGUAACCGCAUCAGCUGUUGGAGUCAGGCAGUUUAAAGAUAUGGCUACUUAAGCAUAGAGUCUGGGAAGAAUGCCCUUCAAAAUGUAACAGUAAAUCAGGCCUUCAGUGGUAAAGAUGUAGUAAAUGUUGGGGAUUCCUUGCUGGAUCCCUUUUCCAGUUGUCCCGGCUUCUUUCCUCCUUCCCACACCCGUGUCUCCCACUUCCCAUUUGAUUCCAUGCCUAUCUUUGACAAUUCCAUCUAUUACUUUCUUUCUCAUAUAUAUAUAUAUAUAUAUAUAUGUAUUUAUAUUUUAUAUUUAUAUGUAUUUAUACAUAUUUAUAUUAUUUAUAGGUAUUUAUAUUUAUAUGCAUUUAUAUGUUUUAUUUGUAUAUUUAUAUAUGUUUUUAAGCCUUCUGUUUUAAUCUUAGUUGCUUGGCCUUUAACUACCAAUCCCAUUCUCUGUGCUGCUAGAAAACAGAGAACAUGUUAUAAAAGGAGACACUGCAUCUCAAAGGGUUCCUUCAUUUGGCCAGAGACUAGUUCAUUCUUGAACAUAAUGUGGCUUUAGAUUUUCAGAAAAAGCCCCUUCCUUGGGGUGGUUUUGAAGAACAUGUAGGUACAUAUGGGUGUCAGGCAAUCAAAUUUGUAGAUGCAGUAAUUUGAAGAACGAAUUAUUAUAGUGACAGGAUCGCCCAUAAAAUGAUAAGAAAUAUAGAAGUCUUUCUAGCUUACAUAAUACUGACUAUGAUCUUGAGAGUUUCAUUCCAUAAUUUGGCUUUAUCCUUAUUUUUAUUGGAAUUAACAGAAUCAGAGAGUUGGUAGAAAGCAUAGAAAUUUUGUAAUACAGCUCUCAUAUUGAAAUGAAGAAAAUGAAGCCCAGAAAAUAAUCUGUUCUAAGUCAUUCUGUUUGUCUAUAAAUGUCAUUGGUUUAAUUUUAGUUUUGCAUAUAUUUAGACAAAGAAAAUAUUUUCCCAGAAACUGGUUACAAAUCUUUGAGAUGAGAUAUAACCAUUAAAAUACAUAUGCAGUAAAAUAAAACUAUCAUUCAGUAGUCGAUAACAUACAUUGAAAUUGCCUGGGGAUAUUAUUCAUAUAAUAAAACUUACUUUCAUUGUUAAUAUAUUAUCUGACUUCUAUGUAUGUAUAAUAUGUAAGCCAGCUCAAAUUAUCUAUAUAAAUGAACAUUAUUUUUGUAUACAAAUAUAAUCCCCUUUUGACGUUUUUAUGUUCUGAUUAUAUAUUACUCACAGUUUUGUAAUUUUAACCAGAAAAAAAAAAAAAAAAAAAAAAGGACUGCCCAGAAGAAAAGAAGGUAAGUUAUUUCAUAAGUUGGGUUGGAAAUUCAGAAGUUCUUUUUCCAUUACUAACAUUGUGUUCUUAAAAAAAUAAGACAAAUUCUUAUUUUUUCACUUAUAAGUAUUCCUAUAAGAAUUGGCAGAAGUGGGGGUGAGGAGGAAAUCCACUGUAGACAGUUAGACCUUAUUAUUAGAAGCAGUUGGUGGUAUCCUGUAGAAAAAAUAGUAUAUUCUUGAAGACAUAACUACUUAAUGUUUAAAAAAACCCUAUGGUAUCAUGCAUACAAAAAACAUUUAUAAAACAAAGCUUUUAAAUGUUUAAUUAUACCCCUAAGCUGACUUUCUAGUUCUCUAGGAUAUCAAGGCAUAAAAAAAGAAAGAAAGAAAGAAAGAAAGAAAGAAAGAAAGAAAGAAAGAAGGAAAGAAAGAAAGAAAGAUUUACUCAGAUUAGUGUUGGAAACAUCACAUAGAAAUAUGUGUGGUGAUGUUACUGGAAAUGAGUAUUUUUGUAAAGUAAACAAGUAGACUGUCUGAGCUUUAAAAAGCCUGCCACGCUGCCUUAAGGUUAAAAAUGCAAGUCUAGAUAUAUCUAAGAAAUUGUACUGUUUAACUUUUUAGUUCUAAGUAUGUUUUGAUGCAAAUAAUUAAAAGAUGCCUAUGUCUUCAGUUAAAAAUGAACAUUUUGCUGAAGUGGUAAUACUUAGGUUGUUUUCAGUUUCCAUAAUUAAAUGCUACUUGCUACUUAUUUAGGGCGUAUGUUUCAGUCCCAGAACACCGAGGACAGAUCUAAGUGACAUCAAAUUUUUAAAAAAAAGUUACACAAAAAUUUUGUGGUAGCUUUCAGGUU